rnacentral:rRNA from 1 species
GUGCAGCAGGCGCGAAAACUUUGCAAUACACGAAAGUGUGACAGGGCUAUCCCGAGUGCCAUCCGCUGAGGAAGGCUUUUACCCAGUCUAGAACGCUGGGGGAAUAAGGAGAGGGCAAGUCUGGUGUCAGCCGCCGCGGUAAUACCAGCUCUCCGAGUGGUGUGGAUGUUUAUUGGGCCUAAAGCAUCCGUAGCUGGCUAAGUUAGUCCCUUGUUAAAUCCACCGAAUUAAUCGUUGGAUUGCGGGGGAUACUGCUUGGCUAGGGGACGAGAGAGGCAGACGGUAUUUCCGGGGUAGGGGUGAAAUCCUAUAAUCCCGGGAAGACCACCAGUGGCGAAGGCUGUCUGCUAGAACGCGCCCGACGGUGAGGGAUGAAAGCUGGGGGAGCGAACCGGAUUAGAUACCCGGGUAGUCCCAGCUGUAAACGAUGCAGGCUAGGUGUUUGGACGGCCACGUGCCGUUCUAGUGCCGCAGGGAAACUGUUAAGCCUGCCGCCUGGGGAGUACGAUCGCAAGAUUGAAACUUAAAGGAAUUGGCGGGGGAGCAC